rnacentral:sRNA from 1 species
UCCCGAGUACUGAUGUUGCCCAAGGUCAU